GAUGAACGCUGGCGGCGUGCCUAAUACAUGCAAGUCGAGCGAACAGACGAGGAGCUUGCUCCUCUGACGUUAGCGGCGGACGGGUGAGUAACACGUGGAUAACCUACCUAUAAGACUGGGAUAACUUCGGGAAACCGGAGCUAAUACCGGAUAACAUGUUGAACCGCAUGGUUCAACAGUGAAAGACGGUCUUGCUGUCACUUAUAGAUGGAUCCGCGCCGCAUUAGCUAGUUGGUAAGGUAACGGCUUACCAAGGCAACGAUGCGUAGCCGACCUGAGAGGGUGAUCGGCCACACUGGAACUGAGACACGGUCCAGACUCCUACGGGAGGCAGCAGUAGGGAAUCUUCCGCAAUGGGCGAAAGCCUGACGGAGCAACGCCGCGUGAAUGAAGAAGGUCUUCGGAUCGUAAAACUCUGUUAUUAGGGAAGAACAAAUGUGUAAGUAACUAUGCACGUCUUGACGGUACCUAAUCAGAAAGCCACGGCUAACUACGUG
rnacentral:rRNA from 1 species